UACAGAGGGGGCAAGCGUUGUUCGGAAUUACUGGGCGUAAAGGGCGCGUAGGCGGCCUGUUAAGUCGAACGUGAAAUCCCCGGGCUCAACCCGGGAACUGCGUCCGAUACUGGCAGGCUUGAAUCCGGGAGAGGGAUGCGGAAUUCCAGGUGUAGCGGCGAAAUGCGUAGAUAUCUGGAGGAACACCGGUGGCGAAGGCGGCAUCCUGGACCGGCAUUGACGCUGAGGCGCGAAAGCCAGGGGAGCAAACGGG
rnacentral:rRNA from 1 species